rnacentral:rRNA from 1 species
UACGUAGGCAGCAAGCGUUGUUCGGAGUUACUGGGCGUAAAGAGUGCGUAGGCGGUUCCGUAAGUUUGGUGUGAAAUCUCCCGGCUCAACUGGGAGGGUGCGCCGAAGACUGCGGUGCUUGAGUGUGGGAAAGGUAGGCGGAAUUCCUGGUGUAGCGGUGAAAUGCGCAGAUAUCAGGAGGAACACCAAUGGCGAAGGCAGCUCGCUGGGACGGUACUGACGCUGGAGACGCGAAAGCGUGGGGAGCAAACAGG